AAAUGAUGAGCCCAAUUAGAUGACGAGUCUGAAGAGUCGUUCAAUGUCGAAAAAACUUUUUUUAAUACCAUUCAUGCCUUUCUGAAA
rnacentral:snoRNA from 1 species